rnacentral:lncRNA from 1 species
UGUCACGACCCAUUUCCGUGGGCCGGACCGGCACUAGGGCCCAGGUAAGCUUAAGGCCCCCGAGGCCCGUAGUAAGCCUAAAUCUCAAUUAACACAUAGUAUCUAACCAGGGCCUAUUCACAAUAAAUUAUAAUCACAUUAUGGGCUUACUGGCUCACCUGCAGCUAAUUACAUAAUAUUUAAUUUAUAGUGUAGUGCUAACAAUAAAUCCAAUAGUAAUACACAACCCUAUAACUGCGGAGUUCAAUAAUAAUCUGAUAAUAGAGUAACUUAUACAUCCAAAAUUAGACAACAGAAAUGUAAAGUUUACAUUUAUAACUCUGCGGAGAAGAUUGCAGAGCUUCAGUCGAAUCAGCUGCUUCCUA